GACGUAGGGCGCGAGCGUUGUCCGGAUUUAUUGGGCGUAAAGAGCGUGUAGGCGGCCAGACAGGUCCGUUGUGAAAACUCGAGGCUCAACCUCGAGACGCCGAUGGAAACCGUCUGGCUAGAGUCCGGAAGAGGAGAGUGGAAUUCCUGGUGUAGCGGUGAAAUGCGCAGAUAUCAGGAAGAACACCCGUGGCGAAGGCGGCUCUCUGGGACGGUACUGACGCUGAGACGCGAAAGCGUGGGGAGCGAACAGG
rnacentral:rRNA from 1 species